GAUGAACGCUGGCGGCGUGCCUAAUACAUGCAAGUCGAGCGAAGCGGGGACGGGUGAGUAACACGUGGAUAACCUCCUAUAAGACUGGGAUAACUUAGGGAAACCGGAGCUAAACCGGAUAAUUAUCGAUGGAUCCGGGCUGCAUUAGCUAGUUGGUAAGGUAACGGCUUACCAAGGCAACGAUGCAUAGCCGACCAGGGAGGGUUAUCAGCCACACUGGAACGGAGACACGGUCCAGACUCCUACGGGAGGCAGCAGUGGGGAAUCUUCCGCAAUGGGCGAAAGCCUGACGGAGCAACGCCGCGUGAGUGAUGAAGGCCUUCGGAUCGUAAAGCUCUGUUAUGAGGGAAGCGGUACCUACUCAGAAAGCCCCGGCUAACUACGUGCCAGCAGCCGCGGUAAUUC
rnacentral:rRNA from 1 species